UUAAGAACAAUUCCAUCACAUGCGCUGGAUAUAUUCAUGUAUUCAUGAAUAACUUGGAUCAUACUCUGUGUGUGUUUAAAAUUAUAAUUUCAUUCGGAAUACUUUUACCAUUUUUUUAAAUUAUAUAGUAAACUUUAAAUAUUACUGUAGUUCGUCGCUUUCAUAACUAUAUUCUUCUAUAUAGUGAGCCUCCGACAUUUUAUAUAUACAUAUAUAGUCAUCGCAGAAGUUUCAUAUUUCCGACUGUUUGUGAAGGCACCGGAGGCCUCUUUUUAGUGGACACGCCCCCGAAUCGCAACAGCGGUACCUACCUGUGUUGUUGUUGUUUUUCCUGGUAAAGAAGUGGAUGACAACAGUGACCAUGCUCACUAUUUGGGACAUAAAAUGUUCAGCAUUGGUAUAAGCACUGGAGGGAGGAAAGAUUGUGGUGAAGAACAGCACCCGAUACCUUGGAACCUUCACGGCUGAAGUGCUCUCGCGCAAGGCAUCGAAAGCCAUGUUGUGCCCCCUGCCUCAGUGCUCACUACUGUGAUGGGUUAAAUUCAUUUAACUCAUCAUUUCAUGAAAUUUAGUGAGCACUAACAACAAAGAUGAUGGUUCUCCUUCACGUCUUAGUACGUUUGGAUACAGCCUGAGGUGCAAGAUAAUGAUGACACUGCCCUCCCCCACCUCUCCGCUGACUACACACUUCAUUAGUUGUGAUGAUUUGCAGCCAGUCUCAUGACAGGAGAUAACAGUGAGCUCCCGAAAAUAAAGCUCUCACAUCUGUGUCUGCUUAAUGUGACUCUUCUUCCUGUGUCAGUCCAACUCACGUUUGUCCUCACACCUCCUUUCUGCAUUCGUCUAAGCGUCCACUCAAAAACACACAGGUGCACGUCGCCGCACACAGCUACUCCCUCACUGCAAUUACUUCACAUCUGGAGUUUGUUUGCUUGCCAGCAAAUAAACAGCAAUCCCCUCGA